AGAGUUUGAUCAUGGCUCAGGACGAACGCUGGCGGCGUGCGUAAUACAUGCAAGUCGAGCGAGCUUGCCUAGAUGAUUUUAGUGCUUGCACUAAAUGAAACUAGAUACAAGCGAGCGGCGGACGGGUGAGUAACACGUGGGUAACCUGCCCAAGAGACUGGGAUAACACCUGGAAACAGAUGCUAAUACCGGAUAACAACACUAGGCGCAUGUCUAGAGUUUGAAAGAUGGUUCUGCUAUCACUCUUGGAUGGACCUGCGGUGCAUUAGCUAGUUGGUAAGGUAACGGCUUACCAAGGCAAUGACGCAUAGCCGAGUUGAGAGACUGAUCGGCCACAUUGGGACUGAGACACGGCCCAAACUCCUACGGGAGGCAGCAGUAGGGAAUCUUCCACAAUGGACGAAAGUCUGAUGGAGCAACGCCGCGUGAGUGAAGAAGGGUUUCGGCUCGUAAAGCUCUGUUGGUAGUGAAGAAAGAUAGAGGUAGUAACUGGCCUUUAUUUGACGGUAAUUACUUAGAAAGUCACGGCUAACUACGUGCCAGCAGCCGCGGUAAUACGUAGGUGGCAAGCGUUGUCCGGAUUUAUUGGGCGUAAAGCGAGUGCAGGCGGUUCAAUAAGUCUGAUGUGAAAGCCUUCGGCUCAACCGGAGAAUUGCAUCAGAAACUGUUGAACUUGAGUGCAGAAGAGGAGAGUGGAACUCCAUGUGUAGCGGUGGAAUGCGUAGAUAUAUGGAAGAACACCAGUGGCGAAGGCGGCUCUCUGGUCUGCAACUGACGCUGAGGCUCGAAAGCAUGGGUAGCGAACAGGAUUAGAUACCCUGGUAGUCCAUGCCGUAAACGAUGAGUGCUGAGUGUUGGGAGGUUUCCGCCUCUCAGUGCUGCAGCU
rnacentral:rRNA from 1 species